UCCAACAACAAGAUUAUUCGCCAGAGUACUACUAGCAACAGCCUAAAACUCAAAGGACUUGGCGGUGCUUUAUAUCCCUCUAGAGGAGCCUGUCCCAUAACCGAUAAACCCCGAUAAACCCCACCAACCCUUGCUAAUUCAGUCUGUAUACCGCCAUCCUCAGCAAACCCUAAAAAGGAACCAUAGUAAGCACAAGCACAAGACAUAAAAACGUUAGGUCAAGGUGCAGCCCAUGGAUUGGAAGGAGAUGGGCUACAUUUUCUUAUCAAAGAACACAUAACGAUCACACGAACCCCUCCAUGAAACGGAAGGCCGAAGGUGGAUUUAGUAGUAAGCCAAGAAUAGAGAGCCUGGCUGAAUUAGGCCAUGAAGCACGCACAACACCGCCCCGUCACCCUCUGCAGUCAA
rnacentral:rRNA from 1 species